AUUGAACGCUGGCGGCAGGCUUAACACAUGCAAGUCGAGCGGAGCGGCGGACGGGUGAGUAAUGCUUAGGAAUCUGCCUAUUAGUGGGGGACAACAUCGAGAAAGGGAUGCUAAUACCGCAUACGAAUAGAUGAGCAUAAGUUGGAUUAGCUAGAUGGUGGGGUAAAGGCCUACCAAGGCGACGAUCUGUAGCGGGUCUGAGAGGAUGAUCCGCCACACUGGUACUGAGACACGGCCCAGACUCCUACGGGAGGCAGCAGUGGGGAAUAUUGGGCAAUGGAGGAAACCCUGAUUGAGCCAUGCCGCGUGUGUGAAUAAGGCCUUCUGUUUGUAAAGCACUUUAAGCGAAGAGGCGUUACCCACAGAAGAAGCACCGGCUAACUCCGUGCCAGCAGCCGCGGUAAUUC
rnacentral:rRNA from 1 species